AAUUACCCAAUCCUGACACAGGGAGGUAGCGACAAAAAAUAACAAUACAGGGCUUUUCAAGUCUUGUAAUUGGAAUGAGUACAAUGUAAACCUCUUAACGAGGAACAAUUGGAGGGCAAGUCUGGUGCCAGCAGCCGCGGUAAUUCCAGCUCCAAUAGCGUAUACUAAAGUUGUUGCAGUUAAAAAGCUCGUAGUUGGAUUUCGGGACGGCGCGGUCGGUCAGCCGCAAGGUAUGUCACUGGCCGCGUUGUGCUUCUUCGCCAAGACUGCGCGUGCUCUUAACUGAGUGUGUGCAGGAUUCGUGACGUUUACUUUGAAAAAAUUAGAGUGUUCAAAGCAGGCCGGUGCUUGAAUGCGUAAGCAUGGAAUAAUGGAAUAUGACUUCGGUUCUAUUCUGUUGGUUUGUCGAACCGAAGUAAUGAUUAACAGAGACAGUUGGGGGCACUCGUAUUCUACCGUCAGAGGUGAAAUUCUUGGACCGGUGGAAGACGAACCAAUGCGAAAGCAUUUGCCAAGAAUGUUUUCAUUAAUCAAGAACGAAAGUUAGAGGAUCGAAGACGAUCAGAUACCGUCCUAGUUCUAACCGUAAACGAUGCCGACUGGGGAUCAGCGGAUGUUAUUUAAUGACUCCGUUGGCACCCAAAGGGAAACCAAAGUUUUUGGGUUCCGGGGGAAGUAU
rnacentral:rRNA from 1 species